rnacentral:rRNA from 1 species
CCUUCCGUAGGGUGAACCUGCGGAAGGAUCAUUACCGAGUGAGGGCCCUCUGGGUCCAACCUCCCACCCGUGUUUAUCGUACCUUGUUGCUUCGGCGGGCCCGCCUCACGGCCGCCGGGGGGCAUCCGCCCCCGGGCCCGCGCCCGCCGAAGACACACAAGCGAACUCUUGUCUGAAGAUUGCAGUCUGAGUACUUGACUAAAUCAGUUAAAACUUUCAACAACGGAUCUCUUGGUUCCGGCAUCGAUGAAGAACGCAGCGAAAUGCGAUAAGUAAUGUGAAUUGCAGAAUUCAGUGAAUCAUCGAGUCUUUGAACGCACAUUGCGCCCCCUGGUAUUCCGGGGGGCAUGCCUGUCCGAGCGUCAUUGCUGCCCUCAAGCACGGCUUGUGUGUUGGGCUCUCGCCCCCCGCUUCCGGGGGGCGGGCCCGAAAGGCAGCGGCGGCACCGCGUCCGGUCCUCGAGCGUAUGGGGCUUCGUCACCCGCUCUGUAGGCCCGGCCGGCGCCCGCCGGCGAACACCAUCAAUCUUAACCAGGUUGACCUCGGAUCAGGUAGGGAUACCCGCUGAACUUAAGCAUAUCAAUAAGCGGAGGAU